UAAGUUAGCAGACAGUUAGCUAUGGUCUCUACAGGACUAAGUUAGCAGACAGUUAGCUAUGGUCUCUACAGGACUAAGUUAGCAGACGAUUAGCCAUGGUCUCUACAGGACUAAGUUAGCAGACAGUUAGCUAUGGUCUCUACAGGACUAAGUUAGCAGACAGUUAGCCAUGGUCUCUACAGGACCAAGUUAGCAGACGAUUAGCCAUGGUCUCUACAGGACUAAGUUAGCAGACAGUUAGCUAUGGUCUCUACAGGACUAAGUUAGCAGACAGUUAGCUAUGGUCUCUACAGGACUAAGUUAGCAGACAGUUAGCUAUGGUCUCUACAGGACCAAGUUAGCAGACAGUUAGCCAUGGUCUCUACAGGACUAAGUUAGCAGACAGUUAGCCAUGGUCUCUACAGGACUAAGUUAGCAGACAGUUAGCCAUGGUCUCUACAGGACUAAGUUAGCAGACAGUUAGCCAUGGUCUCUACAGGACUAAGUUAGCAGACAGUUAGCCAUGGUCUCUACAGGACGAUAUUCAGAACUUGGACUAUUUUUAUUAAAAACCCUUUAGAUUCUUUUGUUCGUUGGACACUAAUGGACUAGAGGAAUAUAGAAGUCAGCAAUGGACCCAGAUUCAGCGUUCAGGACCAGCUCACAGGUAGCAAAGUGAGCAGCAGGAUACAUACUUUGACUUCUCCUUCCUGGAGCUCCAGAGGCUCUCGAGGGUCAUCCAGCCAUGGGUCGAUGGGGCUCAACUCAAUCAGCUGAAGCCCCCCAUCAUCCAAAAUCUCUACUUCUACUCAAAGGAUGUUCAACACAAAUGGAACUCACCCAGCUCGUCCUGCAAGAAGCUGUCAGACAGAACUCACCUGCCAUUCAGGUCUUCAAUGUCCUUGAUGAACAAGCCUCCCUGGUGUUUGCACUGGUUCUUGCAUGCUUUAAGGCCAUGGCUG